GCCCAGAAGCCUCCCUGGCACAUGCAGACAGAGCGAACGUGCAAGUGAACCUUGCACCUUUGACUAGGAAGCAUGUGGGAGAAGGGAAGCGCUAAGGAAGCUAAGGACUGGCUGGCCAGUGCCAGGCAUGGUGCAGAAGGAAAAACUGAUUGGCCAUCUUUUCUAUGAAGUGGAGUGACAUCUGAGAUUGGAUCGGGGCUUGGCAUGUCCCCAGAACAGCAGUCAAGCUACAAACAGCAAUAGGGUUAGCUUCUGAGCAGCAGCUGUGACCAGAGAUGCUCGAUCCCUCUACAUGACCACCUCCAGCAUCAGAAAUACUUGGACUCCAACCUGCCCCCUCUCCUUUAGCAGUCCUCCUAUCUGGAGCUUAAAGCACUGCUGACUCCAAACCAGAUAGGUAUGCACACAUGUAACAGGUGUCCAAUCAGGGGCAAACCUGAGUUAACAUCACAGCCAAGCCAGGCCCGAGAGCCCGGUUAUGGGGAGGGCCCAGUACCUGUGGCUCCCGCUAACAUCUGCCUGCCACUUUGGAAGGCUGGGUCCCCAACUCAUCCAAGAAGUCCAAGUCAAUGACAGAGCAAGGGAAAGAACCCCAGCCUUCCAGGACCUGGCUCAAUCUUCUUCUCUCCAACAACAUGACUUUUUCUUGCUGAGUAUCCUGUAGCACAUCCAGCCUGGAUCAUUCCAGAUUCUUGAGAAAAGCCAGACUUGUUACAGACAGGCUCAAGCAAACACAUUCCACAUCUAAACAUACCUCUCCACUGUCUUGUUUUCUGAGCCAGAUUUUUAAAGCACUGAUGUAACUUUGAAACGUGGGCUGCUCCACAAGGGAGAAAGUUUGCAGAUGGACCAUCCAGUCACACUGAACAUUAGUCCCCUCUUACGUGCAAGUGACUAGAAGCCAGAAACAACAGAAAGUCUACCACAAGGUGCCACAAAACUCGUUUUAAUGUGACAUCUUAUUGCUCAGUACCCCAAACUGGGAAGUCAGGCUAAGCUUGGUGCAUUCUUGAGUGCCAGGAAAGACGGUCUGGCACAUACAGGCCACAAUCUUUUGGGAUCUUGUAUAACAAUGAUUGGUUCCAUUCCUAAGCAAGCUGUAGGAUGAGCCAGGUGCCCAACUGACCACCCAACCAAUAGAAUAAUAGAAAAUGAGGGUUGGAAGGGACCUCAGGAGGUCGC